CAUUUACCAUCCCUUAGUUAAAACUGCCAUCAUGUCAGUGUAUAAUCUCCCUGCUCUCUCCUCACCACAUCAUUGUGCCUAAUAAAAGUCUUCUCCUUUACCUACAAAGAUGAUGCUGACCUGCCAUUAGUAACCCCUAUUCAUGCAGGUGUUUGGAGUUGCUGGGGCUUUGGUAAGUUCUCCUGCAAUAUGGGAGAUGUA
rnacentral:lncRNA from 1 species